AGUGAACGCUGGCGGUAGGCCUAACACAUGCAAGUCGAACGGCAGCACAGUAAGAGCUUGCUCUUACGGGUGGCGAGUGGCGGACGGGUGAGGAAUACAUCGGAAUCUACUUUUUCGUGGGGGAUAACGUAGGGAAACUUACGCUAAUACCGCAUACGACCUACGGGUGAAAGCAGGGGAUCUUCGGACCUUGCGCGAUUGAAUGAGCCGAUGUCGGAUUAGCUAGUUGGCGGGGUAAAGGUCCACCAAGGCGACGAUCCGUAGCUGGUCUGAGAGGAUGAUCAGCCACACUGGAACUGAGACACGGUCCAGACUCCUACGGGAGGCAGCAGUGGGGAAUAUUGGACAAUGGGCGCAAGCCUGAUCCAGCCAUACCGCGUGGGUGAAGAAGGCCUUCGGGUUGUAAAGCCCUUUUGUUGGGAAAGAAAAGCAGCAGGUUAAUACCCCGCUGUUCUGACGGUACCCAAAGAAUAAGCACCGGCUAACUUCAUG
rnacentral:rRNA from 1 species